UUUCCGUCAUCUCCGAUUAGGCUCGGCCGGCUUCAUCUCACCAUUUCGCUUUCCUCUUUGUCGCCCUCUGAUAAAUUUCGUGACUCUUCGUCACUGUCCGUCAGUCCCCGUCACUUUCCGUCACUUCUCGCCACUUUCCGUCGCUCUCCGCCGCCCUUCAGCUCCGCUCGGCUCUUCUCCGUCAGGCAUCGUCUACUUUCGUCACUCUCCGUCACCCUCCGUCACUCUCCGGCUGCUCCCUACCCCGCACUCCGGGUGGAGAAAGCCUCACGGACUUUUCGUGCCCUUAGCGCUUUUCCGUCAGUCUCCGAUCCUGCUGUCUGUGUCAGUCCCUGGUUACUUCUGGUCUGCUCGUGACUCUGUCCUCCUCCCUUCACUCCUGGGAGAGUGGCCUGGUCCGUCCUGAGAGGCCUCUCCCCACUACCCGGCCUGAAUGAUGAUGGUGUCUCGCUGUGUCGUCUAUCACCCAGGCUGGAGUGCAAUGGUGCGAUCUCGGCUCACUGCAACCUCUGCCUCCCAGGUUCGAGCGAUUCUCGCACCUCAGCCUCCCGGUAGCUGGCAUUGUAGCCAGACAAGCGGCAGACAAAAUUCCUCAGACACCGAGUUAAAGAAGGAAGAGCUUUAUUCAGUCGGGAGCCUGGGCACACUUGGGCCUGAAGAGCCGAGCUCCCCAAAAACAAAAUUCCUGGCACUUUUAAGGGUUUACGACUCUUAAGGGGUUCACGUGAAAGGGUUGUGAUAGAUGGAGCAAGCAUCGGAACGUGACUGGGUGCUACACGCAUCAGAUAACAAAACAGAAAGUUUUGCAGUGCUUCCUCAUACAGUGUCUGGAAUUUACAGAUAACACAAGUAGUUUAGGUCAGGGGUUAAUAUUAUUAUUACUAUUUUAACCACCAGGGAUGGCUGGUGCUGCAAAGGUCGUCUAGCAAUUUAUGUUACCUUUUUUUUUUGUAGCUUUUUGCUUUCUCCCUUUUUCCCUGUUUUAUAAACUAGAGAAGGGGGUGUGGGGAAGGGAGGGGCAGCAGGAGAAGUGGUGGUCUACUUCCUUAGGAUUACAGGCACCCUGCCUUAUUUCUGACUAAUUUUUUUUUGUAUUUUUGGUAGAGAUGGGGUUUCACCGUGUUGGCCAGGCUGGUCUUGAACUCCUGACCUCAGGUGAUCACCUGCCUCGGCCUCUGAAAUUGCUGAGAUUAAAAGCACAAGGCACAGUGCCCAGCCAUGUGUUGGCAAUUUAAUCCCCAAACUCCUGUCCCGAUUGGACAUGUGGCCUUUGGGACGUAACUAGGGUUAGAUAAGGUCAUUAUGGUGGGCCCCCAGUCAUGGGACUCGUGGAUUUAAAAGAUGAGGAAGAGAGACUGCAGCGGACAUGCACUCUUGCCCUCUCCUCCCCCACCCAGAUACUCUUGCUCUCCCCUCCCCUGCCAUGUGCCACCCUCCACUGGGCUGUGAUGCUCUAGGCCUCCCCAGCCACCAGAACUCGCCCUCCCCUCUGCUGUCGUGAGUGGACACGGACUCCCUCCUUCCCUCCAUGCACCACCCUCCCCUGGGCUGGGAUGCUCUGGGCCUCCCCAGCCACCAGAACUGGAAGGGAGACAUUUCAUUUAUGAACUACUCUGUGGUAUUCUGUUAUAGCAACAGAAAAUGUACUAAGACGUAUGGUUUAUAGAUUUUAGGUUUGUGGUUUUUAGGGUUUGGGUAGGAGUACCAGGUAGGGGUUAGGGAAUAGGGUUAGGGUUAGUUUUAGGGUUGUGGGGAGGCAAUAGAGGCCAAGGUUGGAAUCAGAGUGAAGUUCAGCUCAGAGCUUAGUAUCCUGGAGCCACCUCAUUGUGUUGUACGCAAGCGAGUUAGAGAAAACGCCACACUUUGAGAAGAAUUAAGAGUCCUUUAGUUAGCUGGCAGCCAAAGAGAUGGCUAGUGCUCAAAAUUCUCUCAGCCCCAAAGAAGGGGCUAGAAUUUCUUUUGUAAUUUUGUUUAGAAAGGGGAGUGGAGCUCUAGUUAAAACAAUUUUACAGAAGUAAAUUAGGCAAAAUGUUAAAAAGAUAAAUGGUUACAGGAAAGUAAACAGUUCCAGGUGCAGGGGCUUUAAGACUAUUACAAGGUGAUAGACGAGGAUAAUUGGGUGUUAUCAAUCGGACGAAUUCCUGGGGACUGCGGAUAUAGCUUGCCACAGUAUCUUGUCAGUUAAUUGCAUUCUUGGAUGUGCUGGGAGUCAGCUUGCACGAGUUAAGUCUUUGAGGAAGGGGCUGCCAGUGAAAGAGCCAAGAUGGAGUCUGUCCGGUUCUCUCAGUUAAGGGAGAGUCAGGUGGAAACAAGGCUAGGUGAUUAAAGGAAAGGGAGAGUCUAAAAACAGGGUUAGCAAAAAGAGGUUGGGCAUUACAGUUGUACCCUCCAUCACCUCCUGCAAUCUGAAACAAUUCCAUAACUUGGAAAACCUCAGGCAAGGACUUCCUGGAAUGUGUCCACUGUAACCACCAGGUUUUCCAGUGUGUUCUUUACACCCUGUAACCCUGUUAGCUACAGAAUUUUUCAGCAACGUUGUUCUUCACCAGCACUCUGAGUACAUGGAAAAGGCCAAGAUGCUUCUUCAGGGAUGAAUUUUGCUACUUUUUAAAGGAGACUCAAAAGGCACUUUUGCCACUCUAAGUCUUUCUUCAAGUGAUGAAAUUUGUUUCCUAUUUAACUCAUUGCUGUGACGCAUUUUCCAAUUCUAUGUUUGUUUUUGUUGUACUUAUUUUCUGUGUGAACUCUACAUCAUUUACUCACUCUGAACGACAGAAUAAAAGAAAUUGGCCACGAUAUCAUAUUCGGAAGGACAAUCAUGGCCAUAAGACACAAA